rnacentral:lncRNA from 1 species
CAAGAAGCAAAGCCUGAUAUUCCGUAAUCAACGUGCAUAUAUAAGCUAGAAAGGAUAAAACAUGCAUGAAUUUCACCUUCUUCCUUAAGGUACCAACAAACCCAUCCCAAUCCUCCCUUGCCUUCUUCAACUUUUUCAUCACUUAAAGGCUUAAAAUAUACCCAAAAAGUGAUACCUAGGAUUGGAUUUGUUGGAACUUCAUAUUCUGUCGGAUGAUAAGUAGUUUUCGUAUCAUAGAUUUAGAAAUUUUAGCAAAACCACCAAAAGGUCUAAAGACUGAGGAGAGGUAACUUAUUAGUUGGCUACGUGGGCAACUAUAAAGAAAGACAUCAAGAGAUUCGUAUCUUCUUAGAGUUUUUCUUUGUUUUUUCGGUGCUGGUUAACAACUCGAGGAUAAACGUCAAUAAAGAAAAACUACAGUAAGACAUCAAGAGGCAGCUGGAAGGUGUCGCCGACAAGGGUCAGAAGCUUCGUCAAAAUAUAUAUUCGAUCCAGAGCUAGAAUAAUGUGACAAGACUUCACAAAUCCCAUUCUUGUUUAAAGACUAAUCAAGGGCAAACCUGCACCGGUUGUAUCUGUAAACUUAUAAAUUGGGUAAAUGUAAAAGACUCAAUCCUUGAGCGAAGAACUUGAAUUCUAUCAUUUUCACAAUCGAUUAUUACAGAAUACGUAAAUUACACAUCUCGAUAACUAGACGUCAAAUGUCAUCUACAAUCUCUAUCUUGAAUGAUCUGUAGACGAGUCGUCAACGUGGAGAAAAUUAGGUUUCUCUCUCUAGCCUUGCUUGCACGUUAAAACUCUAAUACAUGUUUUUUCAUUAGUGUCCACAUUAGGCAGGUAUGUGCGCUAUUUUAGGCAGAGAAAGACUCGUUUCCUAAUGAAGUCCAUAACUAAUUACUACCCAUCACAAUUAGGGGUGGACACUUGGAACCGAAAACCGAAACUGAAACACGAACCAAAUCGAACCAUACCAAACGGUUUUGAUUUUGCGAUUUUGAAACGGUUUCGGUUUGAAACCGAACCGCAAUGUAGAGAAACAGUUUGGUUUUGGUUUUGACUUUUGAAAACCGCGCCACAAGUAUUAAAAAAAACAUGAUUGAAGUGUAUCAAUUUGUUUAAUUGUUAUUUUGUGUAUUUGAUUCGGUUAGGCCUUUUCUAAAACUUGUAGACUUUGUCUGAUAUGUUUAGGGUGUGUAAUCAAGGGCAAAGGAAUGCAAUUCGUGUCGGUUAAAUUAGGGUGUGCAUGCUUUAUUUUGUAUUUGUAUAAUAUUUUGUGUGUGUGACUUAUAUAGAGUUAUAACUUAUACCUUCUACAACUAUGGCAAAAACCCUUUGGGAUAGCAGCCUUCAGGGUGUUGGGGUCAAGUUUUUUGUUUAUGUUGCAUCUGUUGGUCUGUAUUGUCUGGCAUGUUUCGUAAUUUCACCAAUCCAGUUUCUCUAAUUUUAAUUCUUCCAUGUCAUACUAUCUUUAGAAAAUACAGUACUAUUAUUGUUGCAGAUUAGCUACAGGCAUUUACUGCCCUUGAGUGAUAUUAUCAUAAUGAGAAGGCAUUUGCUGCCUUACUGGGGUGCAAAGUCCUUUGAAGGCUUGAAUAUGCACAUUGACUUUGCAUUAGGAAAUGUUUGAAAAUGGUUUGAAAUAAGGUUUUAGAUUGUAUAUUUUUUUUCUUAAAAAUACUAAUGUUGUUCAGGGGGGAGAGAGGAAGGUAAAGAGAUUUUUUUUUUUUUUCAUUUUGUAUCUAUAUGGUUUGAAACCGAACUGAAACUGUUUGAAACCGCACCGAACUGAACUAAAUGGUUUGGUUUCAUUUCGGUUUUGGCUUCAAAACCGCACCGAACCAAACCGCAAAAAAUCGGUUUUGGUUUCGGUUUCACUCAAAACCGCAUCGAACUGAACCGUGCUCACCUCUAAUCACAAUAUUAAAAUAAGAAACCAAUUCUUAUAAUUUGACCAAUAUGAUUGCUUCCAAAACAAUACACAUUUUUCUAAUUAACGACCGAGGUUCCAUUCAACAUAUGAAGCCUUAGAAUUCGUUGUAUUACUAGCUUUCUUGUUUUUCAAUCAAGAAAAUAACGGAAAACCUGCAAGUUAUGUAUCUUAGGUAGUUGACGAACAACAUAUACAUCAAAAUAUUUGAAGGAUAAUGCUUGUGUCCUUAGUGGGGACUUAUUUAUCUCCUACUCAUAAUUGACGAGCCUUUAUCAUUUAAACAUGUUAGUACCAUAUUAUAUUGGGCCUCAUUACUUUGGCUUCCAGACAUUGAGCCCAUGAUUUAUGUAAAAGGGGAGGAGCCCUUAGUCUAUAAAAGGGCCUCAUCACCCUCACAAUUGAGGGGGGCUCAUCCUCACAUACAGAAGCCACAAGCCUUACAUCCAGAGAGAAACUCUCUCAAACUAUCUCUUUCUCUGAGGGACUCCCCCUCACACUUGUAAUCCAUACAUACAAUCACAGAGAAAUACAAUCAACAUCAGUGUGGACGUAGCCCAAACAUUGGGGUGAACCACGAUACAUCUUGUGUUCUUUACUUUCUUGCAGAUUCACGGUCGGAUUUACGUUGUUCCAAGAACUUCGAUUUUGUGCAUCAACAUUUGGCGCCGUCUGUGGGAAUCGACACAAAAAGCUAUGUCGGUUCUCUUUCAUUUUUUCAUCUCACCACCGUGAGAUCUCACCACACUCCACCGUGAAUCUACAGAAAUCGAAGAACCAAACACCUGCACAGUCACUGCAAAACAUAUGUCUCUCGCUCCAGCUCCCGGUCA